AAAAAGGGAAAUUUGAAGUCAUUAUCACAAUAUAUUGUGCCAUCAUGGCCAAAAUGAUAAUCAGGAUUAUUGUGAUCACCAUUAAGGUCACAACUUUUCAUUGUGAUUAUGGUACAAAAUAUCUUUAUUGCACAUCAUGAUAAACAGCUGUUUACAUGGUGUGCUACAUUUCUGCUAAUGAAUAUCUCAUUAUACUGAAAUACCAAUAUCAAAGGAGGUCCCAGGAAGUCAGUCCAUCUCUCACAGGCAAAGUAUAAACAAGACGACAUGGUCAUCAAUAUCCCCCGCCACAUAUGAUGUCUAUGAGUCUAUAUCCAAAAUAGUGAUAAAGGGCCAUAACUCUGUUAAAUAUUAUCGCACAGGUCUCAUUUUUGAGCUUGAUCAAGGUGUCCAUGGUGUGAAGCUACACUCUAAAUUUCGUAGUCCUAGCUGUAAUAGUUUCCGAGAAAAGCUGUCCCCUUCAUCUGGCACGGACGGACGGACGGACGGACGGACGGACGGACGGACGGAGGCCAAACCUAUAUCCCCCUUUUCCACUUCGUGGAGGUGGGGGAUAAUAAGUCUAACUUCCUGAACAUAUUUUAACUGAUAGACCCUGUGAUUUACCAGUGU